rnacentral:RNase_P_RNA from 1 species
GGAGAUCGCGGGGGGGCCGCCGGUUCGCCGGCGUCCGCCUCGAGGAAAGUCCGGGCUCCGUAGGGCAGGGUGCUGGCGCAGGCCAGUCGGGGUGACUCGAAGGAAAGUGCCACAGAGAACGGACCGCCUGUGUUCGCACAGGUAAGGGUGAAAAGGUGCGGUAAGAGCGCACCGGGCCCCUGGCGACAGGGACCGCAUGGUAAACCCCACCCGGAGCAAGGCCGAGCAGGGACGCGCUGGCUGUGAGAGCAGACAGCAGGGGUCGCCCGCCCCGUCUCGGGUAGCGCCGCAAAGAAGAAUGAUCUCCACCCGGCAGAGGCAACGAAACCGGGGACAGAACCCGGCUUA